rnacentral:lncRNA from 1 species
GGCCAGCCCCUCUGCCCGCCUCUUUGCUGCCCUCCCCCUUCCCUCCCCGCCGCCCUCCGCUCGCGGGCGCGGGGCGAUUUCCUUCCGCGCUGGAGCGCGCGGGCCGCGCCCCCGCACCCGAGCGCAGCCGGGGGAAGUGGCCGGAGGGGACCGUCUCCACUGCGGUGUGGGUGCCUCUCGGAGUGGCUGUGACAGCAGCGGAGGCAACAGCUUCUACGCAUUUUUGGAUGACAUACCACCUGUCUGCUGGCUUAGAGUUCUGCGAAAUAAUUUCUCUGGAUUGCAUGAAUGAAGCACAGGACCAUUCACACAGAAGAGGGCGCAGAUUGGAAAACGCUGCAAGUUGCUGGAAUAACUGA